UCAGGACGAACGCUGGCGGCGUGCUUAACACAUGCAAGUCGAGCGGAAAGGCCCUUUCGGGGGUACUCGAGCGGCGAACGGGUGAGUAACACGUGAGUAAUCUGCCCCAGGCUCUGGGAUAGCCACCGGAAACGGUGAUUAAUACCGGAUAUGACGACUGGCCGCAUGGUUGGUUGUGGAAAGUUUUUUCGGCUUGGGAUGUGCUCGCGGCCUAUCAGCUUGUUGGUGGGGUAAUGGCCUACCAAGGCUUUGACGGGUAGCCGGCCUGAGAGGGUGACCGGCCACACUGGGANUGAGACACGGCCCAGACUCCUACGGGAGGCAGCAGUGGGGAAUAUUGGACAAUGGGCGGAAGCCUGAUCCAGCAACGCCGCGUGAGGGAUGACGGCCUUCGGGUUGUAAACCUCUUUCAGUGCAGACGAAGCGCAAGUGACGGUA
rnacentral:rRNA from 1 species